rnacentral:rRNA from 1 species
UACGUAGGGUGCAAGCGUUAAUCGGAAUUACUGGGCGUAAAGCGUGCGCAGGCGGUGAUGUAAGACAGAUGUGAAAUCCCCGGGCUCAACCUGGGAACUGCAUUUGUGACUGCAUCGCUGGAGUGCGGCAGAGGGGGAUGGAAUUCCGCGUGUAGCAGUGAAAUUCGUAGAUAUUGGGAAGAACACCGGUGGCGAAGGCGGCUCACUGGCCCGUAACUGACGCUCAUGCACGACAGCGUGGGGAUCAAACAGG